AAUCUAUAGGUGACUACCCAGAAGGCUAAUCCAGGAGCUGCAGGGGCAGGAGCGACGCCCCGUGGAAGCCAGCAGGAGGAAUGAUGGGUUCUGCCUUGAAGGUGGGGCGCCAGCCUUCCCCGAGGAGCUGCCGGGAAGGGUGGCGUUCGGGGGUGUGGGUGCGCGUAUACCAAGCAGAGGGGAAGUCACGUGACUGCCGGCGUAAGCGCACACGGUGCGCUCUGCUUUGACUUCCGGAAGCCCUGCCGGCCAGCAGACCUCUACCAGGGUAAUCGCAGAGCCCCCUCCACGGCCUGGCUAGCUCCAUGAGGACGGUACCCUGGAAGCUGGGUUCGGACCACGUGACGGCCAAGGGCGCACACCUGACGCACACAGGCCUGCUGCUUUCUCUCGCUGUGAUUAGGACGGAGAGACUCAAAGGUGGGAGGUGGGAGCUGAGCCCCACAUGGGGCGGAACAUCAAAGGGAAGAUUCUGAAUCUCCAGCUAUGCACCUGAGCCCUCAGGGUUCUCCUUUCCGAGCCCUAGUUAUUCAACUCUCCUUAGAAUUCUCUGGGAUUAGCCUUCCAAAAUAUUCCUUUUUUCCCCCCUAAAGUGGGUUUUUGUUAUGUACAACCAACAUAACAUUAGCUAGUACUCACUGGCCAAGGUGAAUUUGCAAAGCAAAAAUAAUAUACUUUUCAAAGCCAAUUUCGGACACCUUUGUCUGCAAGUUGAAUUAGCCAAAUUAUGUCUACAUUCCUGCCCUUCUAAAAUUUGCAGUUCUUCCAAGAUCAUCUGCUAAUCUCAGCUUGGACAUGGGCUGGCUUUCAGGAUGGGCCAGCCUGGCAGCUGCCUUGAGACACGAUGGACCAGGGGCUAAGAGGCCUGUGCCAACCACCUGCUCUGCCAGGGGCCAUGCAUCCUGGCGUCAGCAUCAGCGGGGCCUGGUUACCUCCAGAGUCUGGUCUGAGCCUGCCCAGCCAGUGGUUGGGUAGAAGGCAUACAGGAGAAAGAAGCAGGCUGGGUAGGCCUCAUCCCCAUCAGGGUGACCAUCUCUCAGCGAGUGUGACCUAGACCCUGCCAGGACCAGAAUUUGAAGGUCUUGUGUACUCAGGCCCAGUGACAAAGAUCCGGCUGCAUGCUUGUCUCUCCUGCCCUGCUUCUAAGACACAUUUUCUGAAUGCAUUUUAGAAGUUCUUAUUGGUCAGGAGGCAACAUAAGCCUCUACCAUAGAACACAGCAAGAAGCUGGAACGGGAACAUUCCGGGUGCAUUAUAAAUUUAAUUAAUUUGCCUGGGAAUAUCUCAUUGCCUUCUCCCUCAUAUGAAUGAAAUCCACACGAUUUCCAAUCUGUUUCUAUGGUUUCCUUCCUCUGUUCAGAUACAUUAAUUAGCUUGUCAGUUCAUUAUGGACGUGGGUGCCUUUUAUCCCCCUUCAAAUCUGAGUCCAUAUUAAUUUAGUUUUGAUUUCAACAGUGUUUAAAAAUAGAGCAAAAUUAUUUUGACUAGCAUACAAUCAGGCCUGUAGGUGUUUAAGGGGCUUGUCACACUAGUCUAGACUUCAUUGCUUUUCUCUUUCCUGGGAGGGAGAUGUGGCUGUGGUCUCCUGUUUUACUUUGCAGGAAGGGGAGUCGGCCUCAGUUUUCCCUAUCAUACUGAGUUUCACUGAAAACCCUUGACUCUUUGGCCUGCUGGGCAAUCGCGAGCUCUAAAAAUCAUCAGGACUCUCCCGAGGGUAGGCGGAGGCAAAUGUGUCUUCACAAAAAGAAAGAUUGAUUAUGCCUUUUUUAUUUGGUUGUUGAGAAGCAUGAAAACCCAGACUCCCUCAACCUAAGACACGGGGGCCAUCAUUUAAGAUUGUUCCAAAGAGCUGAUGCUCUCAAUCCAGUGCUCCCCUGGGGCUGCUCAGCCACUCCCUAGCUUGAGAGCAGUGGGCACGCUGCUCCCACCAGAGAGACUGCCAUGGGGCUCACCCAGGCACAGGAGGGCCCUUGUGUCUCAGGCUCUUUGCUUUGUCUUACUCCCAGGACAGAAGUGCCCUAACCUGGCCGUACUUUUGAAUCACCUGUCCUCGUAGAAAGUAGACGCCUGGGCCCCCGGCCAGCCCACAUGAAUCAGAAUCUCUGGGGGUGGGGUCCAGUUGUUGGUGUUUGUAAAUACCUAAUGGGCAGCUGAGUCCAAGGAGCAUUGGCCUCUCAAAGUCCUGGUAAAAAGUGGUGUCAUGGGUUGAGCUGUGUCCCUCCCCAAAAGAUAUGUUGGAGUCCUACACCCCGGUGUCUCAGCACGUGACCUUAUCUGGAGCUAGGGUCUUGGCAGAAGUAGUGAAGUAAAGAGAAGGUCAGUAUGGUGGUCCUUAAUCUAAUCUGACUGGUGUCCUUACUACAAGGGGAGAGGUUAGGGACGGCACACACGGGGAGAACACCAUGUGGAGAUGAAGGCAGAGAUCAGGGUGAUGCUUCCACCAGCCACGGAAUGUGAGGGUUGCAGGCAAACCCCAGGAGCUGAGAGAGAGGCAGGCUGCGAAUACCUCCUCCCAGCUCUGUGAAGGAAGCCGCCUUGCCUAUAGCUUGAUCUCAGCCUCCUGGCCUCCAUGACCGUGAGAUAACAUAUUUCUGUGAUUCCAAUUCACCCAGUUGUGGUACUUUGUUAUGGCGGUGGCAGGAAUCGAAGACACAGGAACCUCACCUUCUGUUUGGAGGGGCCCAGCCCUGCCGGGAGCUGCUUUUGGAAUCGCAUUCUAAACCAGGUGGCAUCCCUCACAGACACUGUCCCGCAAAACUGAGAUCAUCUGUGAUCUGUUUGCCAAAACAUCCAGGUAGACAGUAGGAAACUCAGUUUGCCAUCGAUCUGUUUGUUUUAUAUGUUGGGGAUAGAAGCAAUGUAGGCUCUGGAGUUUUCACUUCUUACCUGAUUUUGCCAUUAGCGCUUCACGCCUGCCUCCCCCAACCCCCGUCAGCUGGAGUAACUGAGGUGAGGCACCUGUGAACCUGGCCCCACCUGGUUCUGAAGCCAGUGUUGGCCGGGCCAAUAAAUAGGAAGAUUCCUCUCCCUCCCCAAGAGGGUGUGGUCUCAAGUUUGUCUCGCUACUGGGAGCUUGGCCGUGUUGCUAGCCUGAACCCUCAUUUACUGAGGGCAGUGGGACGUAGAGCUGAAGACAGGAACCUGGGCGCCUUUGCUGGUUUCCGCCUGCUGACUGGGAUCUUGGGCUGCUGCUCUCUCUCUCCAAGCCUCUCAUUUCUCAUCUACAAAACAAAGGUCAGCUGCCCGAGGCCUCAACAGACGGUGUGAGCAAACUGCCUGCCUCGGGACACUGGCAUGUAACCAACAUCAGGACUUUGGGAAACAACAGACUACACAAGUAUAACUGUUUUCUAUUUUGAACCCUCUUAGACCUUCAUCUUUUCAUUCUCUGUAGAGGAGGAAGGAGAAAGCAAAAACCCAUCUGAUUACAGAAACUGAAAAAUGGAUCUAAAUCCACAUGGCUCUCUUGGUGCCGUUACAGGCAAAAUAGUGAAUUUCAAAAUGAGGUUUGCAUACAGGCCUCCGAUGUAUCCGUACCCGUGUUCCGCAUCUCCGCUUUACUGGGACCACAGUGGAUACCCCAAGCCCUAGAGAACACCAGGUGGAUGCUCUCAGUUCUGACUGCUUCUCAGGACCAAAUGGGGUCUUGUUCUUCAUUUCUGGGUCCUUCUGAUGUUCAUAGUCCCCAGCCUCUGUCUUCUGGACCCUUCCCUAGGAAUUUUCCAGCAACUUAGCCUGAAACAACUCUAUUUCUUCCAUUGCUUUGAGUUGCCUUGUGGAUCGAGAGGUGAUGGAGGACAGGAGAGGUGAGUAGAGCGGAAGAACCCUUUGCAUCUGAACUGGAGGGAAAUGCAGGCUAGAGCAAAACCUAGUGAGCUGCUAGAACAAAAAGGAGCUGGGGAGGGGCAAAGGCACGGAACGCCUGUGGUGGGCUGGUUUGAGAGGGCUUCUCUGAAGAGAAUCAUGAUGUGGUGUGAGACCCACACCUGGGAACAAUGGCCGAAACUUGUGCAAAAUUACACAUUGGCCAAAAUGGUGAAUUAGCAAAAAUGAAUUUGCCCUUUUCCCUUUCAGAUGUCAAUUUUAUUUUGCCACAGGGGCAGUGAGCAAUAUUUCAUGGGUUAUUAAGCACUGCCCUAUUAGAAUGUUGACCAUUUUGAAUAGUUUUGGAUUUUGUUUUUAUUAUUUAAAAAAAUUUAUUAAUCUUGAGAGAGACCUAGAUGGCAUGAGUUGGGGGGCAGGGAGCAGACAGAGAGGGGGAGAGAAAGAAUCCCAAGCAGCCUCUGCCCAUCAGCACAGAACCUGACAUAGGGCUCGAUCCCAUGAAACUGUGAGAUCAGGACCUGAGCCAAAACCAAGAGUUGGAUGCUUAACCGACUGAGCCCCCAGGUGCUCCAGAUUUUGUUUUUAUAAUGUCUUAUUUCUAGUACAAUGUCAGGCAAUUGUGACUCUUAAUUGCUAGUCAGCGUUUUCACGAAUUCUUAAAAUACUGUAUUUUUGCUGUUAGGGAAUUCUCCAUCUGGAAAAAAAAAUUAAAAACUGCUUCUGAUCACCUCAGGUUUUCAUAGCAUCUGUAGAACUCUUGAAUGGACAUAAAAGCAUUUUUUCCCAUUUUCUAAGUGGAUAUUGUUUUAAACAGUUGGUCAAUUUUUAAUAGGGUGAUAGCUAUCCCAGGUUGUCUGGGAGUGAGCAUUUUUCCCAGGACGUGGGACUUUUCAUGCUAACACUGGGAGAGUCCUGGAAAACAGAUGGUAGUCACCCUAGGUAGCAAUGGUUGCUGGGGCAGAGAUGGCCAGCUUGCCCCCAAACAUUCCAAUUUUCCUCUCACAGUGUCACAUUUUUGCCCAGCCAGGGACACAUCCCCAGCCUCCCUUGCAUUCAGGGGCUGCCCCUUGACUGCUUCUCCUCAAUGGCUGUAAUGUGAGCACAGGUGAUGUGGAAACAAGUGCUCCUCCACCUUCUUCUAUAUUCCCUGGAUGUUGACACCCAGGGCAACCUUGGAAAUGUCACAUAUUGAAGACGGCAGAGCCACUGUUGACCUGAUUAGUGACUGACUACGUGAGGCCAAUGCCCCUUCCACCCACCUUGCCACCCUUGCCGUGGGGCUUUGUAUAAGCCAGACACCGUUUCUAUUGGGUUAAGCCAGUGAGGUAUCAUGAUUCCAGCAAUUGGUGUUAUCAUAAUUUAUACAGUUCUCCAAGCCUUUUGGGGUGUAUUUUUUUUUAACAUUUUGAUUACAUGUUCUUUAAAAAAAAAUCCUUAAACUAACCCCUUCCCGUAUAAAAAAAAAGUUGACCCAUUUCUCCUACCUCCCACCCCCUGCCUCUGACAACCUCCAAUCUGUUCUCUGUAUCAAUGCGUUUGGCUACUGAUUUCAAUUCCACAUAUUAGGGAGAUCAUACAGUAUUUGUCUAUCUGUUUGACUUCCUUUGCUUAGCAUAAUGAGGUCCAUACAUGUCACGAAUGGCAAGAUUAUGGCUGAAUAAUAUUCCCUUGUGUGUGUAUGUGUGUGUACAUGCAUGUGUGUACACGAAUGUGUGUUUAGAUACAUAUACACAUGGAUACACUUACUGCACACAUCCAUCUAUUCAUUCAUUCAUUCAUUGGUGGACACUUAGGUUGUUUCCAUAUCUUGGCUACUGUGAAUAAUACUUCAAUAAACAUGGGGUUGCAUAUAUAUUUUUGAGUUUUGUGGGGUUUUUAAGAUAAAUACCUAGGAGUGGAAUUGCUAGAUCAUAUGGUAGUUUCAUUUUUCAAUUUUUGAGGAACCUCCAUACUGUUUUCCAUAAUGGCUGCACUGAUUUACGUUCCUACCAACCUUUUCUCCACUUCCUCAUCAACUCUUGUUAUUUCUAGCCUUUUUGAUAAUAACCAUUCUAACAGGUGUGAGGUGAUAUCACUGUGGUUUUGAUGUGCAUUUCCUUGAUUAAUGAUGCAGAGCCUCUUUUCGUGUACCUGUUGGCCAUCUGUAUGUAUUCAUUGGAAAAAUGUCUCUUCAGAUCUGCCCAUUUUAAUUGGAUUUUUGUGUGUGUGUGAUGGAGUUUUAGGAGUUAUGUAUUUUGGAUAUUAGCCCCUUAUCAGAUAUGAUUUGCAAAUAUUUUCUCCCACUUAGUAGGUUGCUUCUUUUGUUUCAUCAGUUUCUUUUGCUGUGCAGAAGCUUUUUAGUUUGACAUAGUCCUGCUUAUUUUUGUUUUUGUUGCUUUUGCUUUGGGCAUCAGAUUAAAAAAAAAAUCAUUGCCUAGACCUA